rnacentral:rRNA from 1 species
GCAGUCGACGGUAACGGGAGAAGCUUGCUUCUUUGCUGACGAGUGGCGGACGGGUGAGUAAUGCUUGGGAAUCUGGCUUAUGGAGGGGGAUAACUACGGGAAACUGUAGCUAAUACCGCGUAAUAUCUUCGGAUUAAAGGGUGGGACUUUCGGGCCACCUGCCAUAAGAUGAGCCCAAGUGGGAUUAGGUAGUUGGUGGGGUAAAGGCCUACCAAGCCGACGAUCUCUAGCUGGUCUGAGAGGAUGACCAGCCACACUGGAACUGAGACACGGUCCAGACUCCUACGGGAGGCAGCAGUGGGGAAUAUUGCACAAUGGGGGGAACCCUGAUGCAGCCAUGCCGCGUGAAUGAAGAAGGCCUUCGGGUUGUAAAGUUCUUUCGGUGAUGAGGAAGGUGUUUGUUUUAAUAGAACAAGCAAUUGACGUUAGUCACAGAAGAAGCACCGGCUAACUCCGUGCCAGCAGCCGCGGUAAUACGGAGGGUGCGAGCGUUAAUCGGAAUGACUGGGCGUAAAGGGCACGCAGGCGGUGACUUAAGUGAGAUGUGAAAGCCCCGGGCUUAACCUGGGAAUUGCAUUUCAUACUGGGUCGCUAGAGUAUUUUAGGGAGGGGU